AACGAACGUUAGCGGCGCGCUUAACACAUGCAAGUCGUGCGAGAAAGGGCUUCGGCCCCGGUAAAGCGGCGCACGGGUGAGUAACACGUAGGUAAUCUACCCCGAGGUGGUGGAUAACCUUCCGAAAGGAGGGCUAAUACAGCAUAAGACCACGGUUCCGGAGACGGGAUUGAGGUCAAAGCCGGCCUCUUCAUGAAAGCUGGCGCCAUGGGAUGAGCCUGCGGCCCAUCAGGUAGUUGGUAGGGUAAUGGCCUACCAAGCCUAAGACGGGUAGCGAGUCUGAGAGGAUGAGCAGCCACACUGGAACUGAGACACGGUCCAGACUCCUACGGGAGGCAGCAGUGGGGAAUCUUGCGCAAUGGGCGAAAGCCUGACGCGGCGACGCCGCGUGAGUGAUGAAGGCCCUCGGGUUGUAAAGCUCUGUGGAGGGGGACGAAUAAGUGUUGGCUAAUAUCCAGCAUGAUGACGGUACCCCUUUAGCAAGCACCGGCUAACUCUGUGCCAGCCGCCGCCGUAAUAC
rnacentral:rRNA from 1 species